UAUUCGUGAAUAUCUUUCAUUCAGAUUUGUGUUUGUUUUUUUUUUCGUUUAAUCCGAUAACAUGGAAUUAUUAGAAAUAUUGGGCUAUAUGAUGGCAAUGAUCUUGGUGUAUAAAUCAAUCGUAUUCAUAACUGGUUUACUAUUGGUUAAUUAUGGACGAAAAAUUGGAUUAGGUGUUAAAUAUAUAUCGGAUAAUGGAGAAUUUGCCGUUAUUUCCGGUGCAACUGGUUCUAUUGGCCGAGAAUUUACUCAGGAAUUUGCAUCGAUGGGCUAUAAUCUGGUGUUAAUAGCACGUAAUGUUCAAAAACUUGAUCGCCUUGAGCAACAAAUACGAAAGAAAUAUAAUACGAUGAAACAUGUUAUCAAAAUAGCUGUUGAUGUAACCAAACCGGAAUCAUAUGAAAAGUUACGAAAGCAAUUAGCCGAAGUGAAUCCGAUUGUCGUCCUAGUGAACUGUACAUCAUGUUGUCCAGAACCGGAAAAAUUUUGGAAAUCUUCCGUAUCUAAACACGAUCUUAUUAUGAUCAAUGUAAUGGCGCCAUUGAUUAUUAUGGAUAUUUUGAUGCCACGUUUCGUUCAACAAAAUCGUGGCAUUGUAAUUAAUGUUGGUUCACAAGCGGGAGAUUUUCGUUUUCCAAAAUAUUCAACAUUUUCAGCUUGCAAAUCAUUUAUGCACACUUUGACGGAAACAGUAGCCACCGAAUGUAAUAAUUCGAAUGUAUACGUACAGACAGUGAAACCAUGUUUCAUAGCUAACACUCGAAAUUCACAGCCAACAUUUUUCCGAAUUCCAUCACGGCUAGUUGCUUAUUCAGCAUUGAUGACAGUUGGAUUUGAAUCCAGUCAUUAUGGACAUUGGAAACAUCGUUUAAGUGGUCUAAUUUUCAAUACAAUGAUAUUCAUUUUUGGCCAUCGUUGUACGACAUUCAUUACCGGUCUGUUCCUUCCCACAUACAUUCAAACAAUAGCUGGUCGUGAUCAUAAACGUACACCAUCAUCAAUGAAAAUUGAUGUUACUCCAUCACCAUUGACACCUUCAUCGCCAGUAUCCUCAUUAGAUGCCAUUGGUAGCGGUAGCAGUGCUGGUAAUACCAGUGAAGAACCAUCAGAUAUGGUGAUAGAUUUUAAUCAAGAUUAAAUCGGUAAAAAAAUAUGCUCCAACACCAUCACCAUUAGUCAAUGUGUAUGAUCAACAGUCAAACAAUAAAGAUGUGCUUUUUAAACUUACACCACCACCAUUGAUGGUCAAAUCUACAGCAACAAAGUCACCACAAUCACCAAAGCUUCAUAAUAGCAAGACUGUUUCUAAUGAAUCAGCUGAAGAUCAUCAUUUGAAAAAUGUCAAAAUGACAUGCAAAAUAUCUCAUCCACAACAACCGAUAAUUGUUGAUACACAAGAAAUGAAAACUAAAAAUCAUCUACCUGCGAAAACUUAUCGUAGCAAUAUUGAUGAUGAUAAUAAAAGCCAACUACAUAAUGGCCAUCCAUCAGAAAUUCAGCAAGAUCAGACGAUCAAGAUCAAAACAACAAAGAUAAUAUCAACAUUUUCAUCAUCAUCGGCAACAGAUAAUGUUGGUGGUGGUAAUGGUUUUGGUAGUGAAAAAACUAUAACCACAAAAACAACAACAACAACAACAAGAAGCAAACACAAAAAUCUGACAACAUUAAGAAAUCUGAAUUGAAUUGAAAAUUAUUUAAUAUAUCAGAGAGACCAAGAAAAAAAAGUAUACGACAAAAUCGAUUACUAGAAAUUGAUCGACAAAUCGAUUUUCAUUACGAUAAUUGAUCAAUAACAACAACAGCAACAACGAAAAUGACAAAAACGUAAACAGUGGACUGACUGGCUAUGCAUGAAUGUGACUGUCUUGUGUAUUACUACUGGGGUCCCUUUGGUGUUUUUUUAACAACGUAUGUUUCGUGGUGUGUUUGGUCUGGUGUGUGGUAUACUUAAGAUUAAAAAAAAUUCAGUUCAUUUUUUUGAUUGAUGAUCAUCAUUGUAAUUUUCAAAUAAUGAAUUCCACAAAUAAAUUGACUGAUCAGAAUGAAUAUCAUC